AGACCAAAAGGAAGAUAUUAAGAUCACCUAUAACCCACAUCCACAGACAAAGGGAAUUAGCAGGAAAAGAUAUAUAAGCGGGAGGACGGAACUAAGAAAUCGGACCUUGAUCACGAAAUCCCGCUCGUUGGCGCGGGGCCCCAUCCGCGGGGAAUCGAUCAGCAAGAAGUGUGUCAGCGUCUCGGGUGAGCCGCAGCUGCGGGCGAAGCGGGAUCGAGGAGGAGCCUUAACCCUAAAAUCUCCACAGGAACGACGCGACAGAGAGAUAAAGGGGAACGGAGAGGUCGAGGGGGGAAAGGCGGGCAGUAGUGGGAGCUCGUCGCGGAGAGCGGAGCCCGAGCCGCUCGAGAGACGGCACGGACUGUUCGCACCGCAUUUCUUCCCUUUUACUCGUUCACCUCCGUUGGCGUUACAGAAUAAACGGCCGGUCACAUUUUAACGUGACA
rnacentral:lncRNA from 1 species